GAUGAACGCUGGCGGCGUGCCUAAUACAUGCAAGUCGAGCGAACAGAUGAGGAGCUUGCUCCUCUGACGUUAGCGGCGGACGGGUGAGUAACACGUGGAUAACCUACCUAUAAGACUGGGAUAACUUCGGGAAACCGGAGCUAAUACCAGAUAAUAUAUUGAACCGCAUGGUUCAAUAGUGAAAGACGGUUUUGCUGUCACUUAUAGAUGGAUCCGCGCCGCAUUAGCUAGUUGGUAAGGUAACGGCUUACCAAGGCAACGAUGCGUAGCCGACCUGAGAGGGUGAUCGGCCACACUGGAAAUGAGACACGGUCCAGACUCCUACGGGAGGCAGCAGUAGGGAAUCUUCCGCAAUGGGCGAAAGCCUGACGGAGCAACGCCGCGUGAGGGAUGAAGGUCUUCGGAUCGUAAAACUCUGUUAUUAGGGAAGAACAAAUGUGUAAGUAACUAUGCACGUCUUGACGGUACCUAAUCAGAAAGCCACGGCUAACUACGUG
rnacentral:rRNA from 1 species